AUGGGACUGAAAUGAUGAAUGUAUGCAGUGUGUGGAUGAUCUCAGCCAAUCCAAUGCUUUCCUAUAGGAAAGCAUUGGGAGGCUAUUGUGGAUGUGUGGCAAAAAGUUGAGCGGCCAAUCAGCAUCUCCUUGGGGAGCAUUAAGCACCUCCAUGCAGACCCAUUCUAAAACACUGCCCCCACUCGCUCCACUCUAAUUUAGUACAGUCCCCUGCCUCCCCCAAUCUAAUACACUGCCCCCAUCACCAAUCUAAUACAUUGCCUCCUCCUUCCCUUAAUUUAAUACAUUGCCUCCUCCUUCCCUUAAUUUAAUACACUGGCCCCUCCCUCCCCAAAUUAAUAUACUGCACCCCUCCCC